AGUUUGAUCAUGGCUCAGGAUGAACGCUAGCGGGAGGCCUAACACAUGCAAGCCGAGCGGUAUAGAAUCUUCGGAUUUUAGAGAGCGGCGUACGGGUGCGGAACACGUGUGCAACCUAUCUUAUCUGGAGGAUAGCCUUUCGAAAGGAAGAUUAAUACUCCAUAAUAUAUUGAUUGGCAUCAAUUAAUAUUGAAAGCUCCGGCGGAUAGAGAUGGGCACGCGCAAGAUUAGUUAGUUGGUGAGGUAACGGCUCACCAAGACGAUGAUCUUUAGGGGGCCUGAGAGGGUGAUCCCCACACUGGUACUGAGACACGGACCAGACUCCUACGGGAGGCAGCAGUGAGGAAUAUUGGACAAUGGGUGCAAGCCUGAUCCAGCCAUCCCGCGUGAAGGACGACUGCCCUAUGGGUUGUAAACUUCUUUGUAUAGGGAUAAACCUCUCCUCGUGAGGAGAGCUGAAGGUACUAUACGAAUAAGCACCGGCUAACUCCGUG
rnacentral:rRNA from 1 species